rnacentral:sRNA from 1 species
AAGGUUCGAUUCGAGCGGAGCGAGAAAGCGUUGCCGCAGGCAACGACCCGAAGGGCGAGGCGCAACGCGCCGAGUAAUCCUUCCCCCACCACCA